GGAAGGACUGUAGCUCAAUGGUAGAGCAUCUGCUUUGCAUGCAGAAGCUUCCAGGUUCAGUCCCUGGCAUCUCCA